rnacentral:tRNA from 1 species
GUGUCUUUAGUUUAUUUGGUAAAACGCCUCACUGUGAAUGAGAAGAACAGGGUUCGAAUCCCGAAGUCACCCCA